rnacentral:rRNA from 1 species
CCCUUAGAUGUUCUGGGCUGCACGCGCGCUACACUGACGCACGCAACAGGUGCCUGCUCCGAGAGGACUGGGUAAUCAUUUGAGUGUGCGUCGUGAUGGGGAUAGAAUAUUGUAAUUAUUACUCUUCAACGAGGAAUUCCUAGUAAGCGCCAGUCAGCAGCUUGCGCUGAUUACGUCCCUGCCCUUUGUACACACCGCCCGUCGCUCCUACCGAUGGGUGAUCCGGUGAAUGAUUCGGACUUCAGCGGCUCCCCUGGGGUGCGCCGGAGAAAGUUUCAUGAACCUUAUCACUUAGAGGAAGGAGAAGUCGUAACA